CAGUCGCCGCGGUAAUACAGAGGGUGCGAGCGUUAAUCGGAUUUACUGGGCGUAAAGCGUGCGUAGGCGGCUUCUUAAGUAGGAUGUGAAAUCCCUGAGCUUAACUUAGGAAUUGCAUUCGAUACUGGGAAGCUAGAGUAUGGGAGAGGAUGGUAGAAUUCCAGGUGUAGCGGUGAAAUGCGUAGAGAUCUGGAGGAAUACCGAUGGCGAAGGCAGCCAUCUGGCCUAAUACUGACGCUGAGGUACGAAAGCAUGGGGAGCAAACAGGAUUAGAUACCCCAGUAGUCCCUGUCUCUUAUAC
rnacentral:rRNA from 1 species